UACGAAGGGUGCAAGCGUUGUUCGGAUUUAUUGGGCGUAAAGCGCGCGCAGGCGGAUUGGUAAGUCAGGUGUGAAAUCUCGGGGCUUAACCUCGAAAUUGCGCCUGAAACUGUCGAUCUAGAAUACUGGAGAGGGAAGGGGAAUUUCUCAUGUAGGGGUAAAAUCCGUAGAUAUGAGAAGGAACACCGGAGGCGAAGGCGCCUUCCUGGACAGUGAUUGACGCUGAGGCGCGAAAGCGUGGGGAGCAAACAGG
rnacentral:rRNA from 1 species